GACGAACGCUGGCGGCGUGCUUAACACAUGCAAGUCGAACGAUGAAGAAAAGAAUUGAAGCUUCGGCAGAAAUUCAUUUCGGAUUAGUGGCAGACGGGUGAGUAACGCGUGAGCAACCUACCUCUUACAAAGGGAUAGCCUCGGGAAACCGGGAUUAAUACCAUAUAACAUUGCGACGAAGCAUUUCGAUGCAAUCAAAGCUACGGCGGUAAGAGAUGGGCUCGCGUCCCAUUAACCAGAUGGUGAGGUAACGGCUCACCAUAGUAACGAUGGGUAACCGGCCUGGGAGGGUGAACGGUCACACUGGAAAUGAGACACGGGCCAGACUCCUACGGGAGGCAGCAGGGGGGAAUAUUGCAAAAUGGAGGGAACUCUGAGGCAGCGACGCCGGGGGAGUGAUGAAGGAAUUCGUUUCGUAAAACUCUGUUCUAGGGGAAGAAAAGGGCUGUACCAAAGGAGAAAGCCCCGGCUAAAUACGU
rnacentral:rRNA from 1 species